GUUGAAGGCCGAGAUAAAUUGGGGGGACAAUGUGGCCAGGAAGGUUUUAUAGUAUUUGAGAGGGAGGCCGUCUGGGCCUGGGCUUUUGCCGGUCUUCGAGGAUUUGAUGGCUAGGGCCAGUUCCCCCUCCGUCAGGGGCGCCUCCAAAGCCUCCGCUGCGUCUGAGGAGAGUUUAGUUUUAGUGUAUUUAGUGAGGUAUGCGUUCAUGCGGGUCGGUCC